rnacentral:lncRNA from 1 species
CGGCCCCGGGGCGGGGGCGGGGAGGGGGGACCCGGCCGCGCUCACACCUCCUCGCUCCCGCUCCGCACACUCCCGUGCACGCCGGCUGCUCUGCGGUCCCAGACCCAAGUUCUACUUCCACGCGCGGGUCCCCGAGGCCGACCUGCGAGCUACGCCCACGACCGGAGAAAGAGGACGGGAAACGCAGGAAGCGGCCCGGGCCCGACCGCGCCUCGCCGUGUGCCGCGGGGCAGCUCGCGCCCGACCCGGGGCCGCCCUGGGCCCGGACAACGGUCGGAGGAGGACGGCCCUUCGCUCUUCUGGCCCUCGGACCCGAGCCGCGGCCCGGGGCGCAGACCGGGGCGUGGGGCCGCCGUGCCCCGAACCCGACCCCGGCCCCGGCCCCGACCCCGGCCCCGGCCCCGGCCCCGGCCCCGGCCCCGGCGGCCCCCGAGCUGCGGCCCCGCCGCCCGGAGCCCGCCCGCUCCCGCUCCAGCAUCCGACGCCCGGCCCGGCCCGGUCGCGGUCCCGGUCCCGGUCCGCCGCCCGCUCCUGGUCCCCUUCUCGGUCCUGGUCGCGGUCCCGGUCCGCCGCCCCCUCCUGGUCCCCUUCUCGGUCCUGGUCCCGGUCCCGGUCCGCCGCCCCCUCCCGGUCCUGGUCCCCCUCCCCGUCCCGGUCCCGGUCCGCCGCCCCCUCCCGGUCCCACUUCCCGGUCCCGGUCCCGGUCCGGGCCCGCCGCCCCUUCCCGGUCCCCCUCCCGGUCCCGGUCCCCCUCCCGGUCCCGGUCCGGGUCCGCCGCCCCCUCCCAGUCCCGGUCCGGGUCCGCCGCCCCUUCCCGGUCCCCCUCCCGGUCCCGGUCCCGGUCCCGGUGCCCCUCCCGGCCCCACCACCCCGACUCACCGGGCUCCGGGCUCGCCGCCCCCGGGGCUCCCGGUCCGCCUGGCCGCCGGCCGCUCGGGAAGGCGGGGAGGAGGGCGCGCGGGGAGGCGGCGAGGCGGGAGCGCCGCCCUCGGCGGCCGGCGGGCGGGGGGCGGAGAGGGGCGGGGCGGGGCCAGAGCCCGGCCGCCGAGCCUCCCGCCCGGACCGGCCCCGCCGCCCGGUGGCCGCCCGCGUCCCGCUCCGGGGCCGGCGCUGGGGAGGGUCGGCCGGGCUGUCCCGCGGCGGGGGGCGGGGCGCCGGGGCGUGGCCUGCGGGGCCCGGGGCUGGCGGCGAAAGGGGAUCCCGGGGGGCGGGGCCCGGGGGCAGCUCCGGGGGGCCGCGCGGGAAGACGCCGGGGCGGGGAUCCCCGGCCUCACCCUCCUCCCCGCCCGCGGGCUCCGCGCCCCCCGCCCGGGCGUCCCUGCCCCCGAGGGGCCCACGCGCCGGCUCCCCUCCGCCAGCCCCCGGGCUGCCAGCAAGCACGGGACCGACGGCCACGAGCUCGGGCGACAGCCGUCCGAGGCCCCGAGGAGCACCCCGGCCCCCGCGUCCCCGCCUCGCGUCCGGGGUUCCUUUCUCCACCACCUGCCUGAGCGCAGACCCCGCGGCCCAGCUCCUGCCCCGCCGAUUCUCGGGGUAGGGUCCCCGGGGCCGCACAUGCUGGCCUGGCCCACUGCCACCUUCCGUGCUUUGAGGGCCCUCGCCGCGUCCCUAGCACCGCAUCCCUUCCCCACCCGCCUGGCCUGCGGGUCACGGGUCUAG